rnacentral:rRNA from 1 species
UACGAAGGUGGCAAGCGUUGUUCGGAUUUACUGGGCGUAAAGGGAGCGUAGGUGGUGGGGUAAGCCCCGCGGGAAAGCUCCAGGCUUAACCUGGAAAGGUCGCGGGGGACUGCUCCGCUCGAGGACGGGAGAGGAGCGCGGAAUUCCCGGUGUAGCGGUGAAAUGCGUAGAGAUCGGGAGGAAGGCCGGUGGCGAAGGCGGCGCUCUGGAACGCAACUGACGCUGAGACGCGAAAGCGUGGGGAGCAAACAGG